GCCGUCUUUGUGUCAUAACAGGGAGGGGCUUGAAGAGCGGCGAGAACUUCAAACUGCUCUACGACCUAGCCGACAAACUGAACGCAGCCGUCGGUGCCUCCAGAGCCGCAGUUGAUGCUGGUUAUGUUCCUAACGACAUGCAGGUUGGACAGACUGGAAAGAUUGUGGCUCCUGAGCUGUACAUCGCGGUUGGCAUCUCUGGAGCGAUCCAACAUCUUGCUGGAAUGAAGGAUAGCAAGACCAUCGUGGCCAUCAACAAGCACCCAGAAGCCCCCAUUUUUCAGGUGGCUGACUAUGGCCUAGUGGCAGAUCUGUUUAAGGUUGUACCGGAGUUGACCGAAGCCUUGAAAAAGUGAUACUCCUCAGGAAGCUGGUACUCACCUGGAGAACUUCACUAGGAUCCUGCCUUAAGAAGCUCAGAGACAACGCUCCACUGAUGCUCACUUCCUGAAUGUGAUUUUUCUCCAGAACACUGUGUACUUACAAUAGCUAAUGUAAACAUUAAACCACUUCUUUUAAUAAAAGAAUUAAGUGACACAAUGGCCGGAGGUUUUCUGUUUUUCGAAGUUGGGUAACAUAAUUGUUAUGGCAGUCUUUGGCUAAUUCAGGGUUGUCCAAGUCUGCUCCUGGAUACCCACUGUCCUGCGGAGUUCAGCGCCAAACCUAAUUAAACGCACCUGAGCCAGCUAAUAAGGAUCUUCAGGAUCACUAGAAACAUCCAGGCUGGUGUGUCAAGAGCUAAAUUAUGCAGGACGUUGGCCCUCCAGAAGCAGGAUUGGACACCCCUGCUGUAUACUGACCUCAGUGGAGUAGAGCUCAUUUAUCCAGCAGUUGUAGAUGGCUGUCUUUAUGGUGGUCUUUACAUAUUGUCUUCUAUUUGUGGAAGUAACUUGCUGUUUGUUGUAUUUUAAUAAGGUAGCUGUCUGGCCCUGGAUGUUCACUGAAGUGAUCCAAUAAACAUAUUUCUGCUUGUA